GCCGAUAUGGCUCAAUGGUAGAGCAGCUGAUUUGUAAUCAGCAGGUUGUAGGUUCGAGUCCUAUUAUCGGCU
rnacentral:tRNA from 1 species